AAUAAAGUGCCUGAUAAAAAGGAUUAUUCUGAUAGGAUAAAUUAUGUAGAAUCCUACCUUUAUUA
rnacentral:tRNA from 1 species